AUACGAACUGUGCAAACGUUAUUCGGAAUCACUGGGCUUAAAGGGUGCGUAGGCGGACUUGAAGGUCCGAUGUGAAAUCCCACGGCUCAACCGUGGAAUUGCGUCGGAAACCACAAGUCUUGAGGGAGUCAGAGGUAAGCGGAACUGAUGGUGGAGCGGUGAAAUGCGUUGAUAUCAUCAGGAACACCGGUGGCGAAAGCGGCUUACUGGGACUUUUCUGACGCUGAGGCACGAAAGCUAGGGGAGCGAACGGGAUUAGAAACCCUAGUAGUCC
rnacentral:rRNA from 1 species